rnacentral:rRNA from 1 species
GGGGAAUAUUGCACAAUGGGCGCAAGCCUGAUGCAGCCAUGCCGCGUGUAUGAAGAAGGCCUUCGGGUUGUAAAGUACUUUCAGCGGGGAGGAAGGGGAUGAGGUUAAUAACCUCGUUCAUUGACGUUACCCGCAGAAGAAGCACCGGCUAACUCCGUGCCAGCAGCCGCGGUAAUACGGAGGGUGCAAGCGUUAAUCGGAAUUACUGGGCGUAAAGCGCACGCAGGCGGUCUGUUAAGUCAGAUGUGAAAUCCCCGGGCUUAACCUGGGAACUGCAUUUGAAACUGGCAGGCUUGAGUCUUGUAGAGGGGGGUAGAAUUCCAGGUGUAGCGGUGAAAUGCGUAGAGAUCUGGAGGAAUACCGGUGGCGAAGGCGGCCCCCUGGACAAAGACUGACGCUCAGGUGCGAAAGCGUGGGGAGCAAAC